rnacentral:lncRNA from 1 species
AGCGGGUGCUGAACCCCGACCCCGAGGUCUUCUGCCUGCAGGUCCAUGGGCGCCGCCGCUACGAGAUGCUGAAGGAGAUCAACGAAGCGCUGGAGGCGGCCGAGGGGGCGGUGGCACUGCCACGGCCGGUGAAGGGUCGCCGCCCGCGGGGGGAGGGGCUGGUGCCGCGCUGCGGGAAGAAGCUGCUGCUGAAGGGGGAGCCGGUGGACUCCGACUGACCACGCCCCCUUUUCUGGAGGCCACGCCCACCCUGCCCUGCUCUCCGUGAAGCCACGCCCAUCUUACCGUACCCCCGCCUCCUAAC